CACCAGCGCCACAAGUGGCAACCGCUUUUAUUGGGCCUAAAGCGUCCGUAGCCGGUUUAGUAAAUUUCCUGUGAAAUCGUUGGGCUUAACCUAACGGCAUGCAGGAAAGACUACUAAACUAGAGACCGGGAGGCGUCAGAGGUAUUCCGGAGGGAGCGGUAAAAUGCUAUAAUCUCCGGAGGACCACCAGUGGCGAAGGCGUCUGACGAGAACGGAUCCGACGGUGAGGGACGAAAGCUAGGGGAGCAAACCGGAUUAGAUACCCCCGUA
rnacentral:rRNA from 1 species